AUCCAAUUGACGAGUCCCAAAUAGGACGAAAUGCGCAUCCUGGAU
rnacentral:hammerhead_ribozyme from 1 species